rnacentral:rRNA from 1 species
GAUGAACGCUGGCGGCGUGCCUAAUACAUGCAAGUCGAGCGAACGGACGAGAAGCUUGCUUCUCUGAUGCUAGCGGCGGACGGGUGAGUAACACGUGGAUAACCUACCUAUAAGACUGGGAUAACUUCGGGAAACCGUAGCUAAUACCGGAUAAUAUUUUGAACCGCAUGGUUCAAAAGUGAAAGACGGUCUUGCUGUCACUUAUAGAUGGAUCCGCGCUGCAUUAGCUAGUUGGUAAGGUAACGGCUUACCAAAGCAACGAUGCAUAGCCGACCUGAGAGGGUGAUCGGCCACACUGGAACUGAGACACGGUCCAGACUCCUACGGGAGGCAGCAGUAGGGAAUCUUCCGCAAUGGGCGAAAGCCUGACGGAGCAACGCCGCGUGAGUGAUGAAGGUCUUCGGAUCGUAAAACUCUGUUAUUAGGGAAGAACAUAUGUGUAAGUAACUGUGCACAUCUUGACGGUACCUAAUCAGAAAGCCACGGCUAACUACGUGCCAGCAGCCGCGGUAAUACGUAGGUGGCAAGCGUUAUCCGGAAUUAUUGGGCGUAAAGCGCGCGUAGGCGGUUUUUUAAGUCUGAUGUGAAAGCCCACGGCUCAACCGUGGAGGGUCAUUGGAAACUGGAAAACUUGAGUGCAGAAGAGGAAAGUGGAAUUCCAUGUGUAGCGGUGAAAUGCGCAGAGAUAUGGAGGAACACCAGUGGCGAAGGCGACUUUCUGGUCUGUAACUGACGCUGAUGUGCGAAAGCGUGGGGAUCAAACAGGAUUAGAUACCCUGGUAGUCCACGCCGUAAACGAUGAGUGCUAAGUGUUAGGGGGUUUCCGCCCCUUAGUGCUGCAGCUAACGCAUUAAGCACUCCGCCUGGGGAGUACGACCGCAAGGUUGAAACUCAAAGGAAUUGACGGGGACCCGCACAAGCGGUGGAGCAUGUGGUUUAAUUCGAAGCAACGCGAAGAACCUUACCAAAUCUUGACAUCCUUUGACAACUCUAGAGAUAGAGCCUUCCCCUUCGGGGGACAAAGUGACAGGUGGUGCAUGGUUGUCGUCAGCUCGUGUCGUGAGAUGUUGGGUUAAGUCCCGCAACGAGCGCAACCCUUAAGCUUAGUUGCCAUCAUUAAGUUGGGCACUCUAAGUUGACUGCCGGUGACAAACCGGAGGAAGGUGGGGAUGACGUCAAAUCAUCAUGCCCCUUAUGAUUUGGGCUACACACGUGCUACAAUGGACAAUACAAAGGGCAGCGAAACCGCGAGGUCAAGCAAAUCCCAUAAAGUUGUUCUCAGUUCGGAUUGUAGUCUGCAACUCGACUACAUGAAGCUGGAAUCGCUAGUAAUCGUAGAUCAGCAUGCUACGGUGAAUACGUUCCCGGGUCU